UACAGAGGUCUCAAGCGUUGUUCGGAUUCAUUGGGCGUAAAGGGUGCGUAGGCGGCGCGGUAAGUCGGGUGUGAAAUCCCGGGGCUCAACCCCGGAACUGCACUGGAUACUGCCAUGCUUGAGUACUGGAGAGGAGAUUGGAAUUUACGGUGUAGCAGUGAAAUGCGCAGAUAUCAGGAAGAACACCCGUGGCGAAGGCGGCUCUCUGGGACGGUACUGACGCUGAGACGCGAAAGCGUGGGGAGCAAACAGG
rnacentral:rRNA from 1 species